rnacentral:rRNA from 1 species
CCUACGGGUGGCAGCAGUGAGGAAUAUUGGUCAAUGGCCGUAAGGCUGAACCAGCCAAGUCGCGUGAAGGAAGAAGGCUCUAUGGUUUGUAAACUUCUUUUAUAGGGGAAUAAAGGUAUCCACGUGUGGAUAUCUGCAUGUACCCUAUGAAUAAGCAUCGGCUAACUCCGUGCCAGCAGCCGCGGUAAUACGGAGGAUGCGAGCGUUAUCCGGAUUUAUUGGGUUUAAAGGGUGCGUAGGCUGUGAGGUAAGUCAGCGGUGGAAUGCCCCCGCUCAACGGGGUGAAGUGCCAUUGAUACUGCCUUGCUGGAAUGCGGAUGCCGUGGGAGGAAUGUGUGGUGUAGCGGUGAAAUGCAUAGAUAUCACACAGAACACCGAUUGCGAAGGCAGCUCACGAAUCCGCGAUUGACGCUGAUGCACGAAAGCGUGGGUAUCAAACAGGAUUAGAUACCCCAGUAGUC